rnacentral:rRNA from 1 species
AACGUAGGUGACAAGCGUUAUCCGGAUUUACUGGGCGUAAAGCGCGUUCAGGCGGUUUGGCAAGUCGGGCAUGAAAUCUCCUGGCUCAACCAGGAGGGGCUGUCCGAUACUUCCAGACUUGAGGGCAGUAGAGGGUGGUGGAAUUCCGGGUGUAGUGGUGAAAUGCGUAGAUAUCAGGAGGAACACCGAUAGCGAAGGCAGCUCGCUGGGACGGUACUGACGCUGAGGUGCGAAAGCGUGGGGAGCGAACAGG